rnacentral:rRNA from 1 species
UACGGAGGAUGCAAGCGUUAUCAGGAAUGAUUGGGCGUAAAGGGUCCGUAGGUGGUGAUGUAUGUCUAUUGUCAAAGGUUCUGGCUUAACCAGAGACAGGCAGUAGAAACUGCAAAACUAGAGUGCAGUCGGGGCAGGGGGAAUUCCUGGUGUAGCGGUGAAAUGCGUAGAGUUCAGGAAGAAUACCGGUGGCGAAAGCGCCCUGCUAGGCUGUGACUGACACUGAGGGACGAAAGCUAGGUGAGCGAAUGGG